rnacentral:snRNA from 1 species
GAUGUGAGGGCGAUCUGGCUGUGACAUCUGUCACUCUGUUGAGUGCUGGGGUUGAUCUGGCUGAUCUGGCUGGCUAGCUGGCAGGUGUCCCCUUCUUCCCUCACUGCCACAUAUGUGUCUCUCCUGAAGCUGCACACUUGGUUGAAGAAGAUGACCACCCCAUCCAGGAGGACCCUUCCUCAGUCAGGUGUGUAGGAGCAGCCGUGCUCCCCUGCUUGAGCCUCCAAACAUGCUCUCAAGGUCCUUUCCUCAUGAAUUGAAGAUGUCUGGUAUUCUGUCCCAGUAACAGGGAAGUGACAAAUACAGAUUCAGAGGAUGUCAAAGGGAAGAUAUAUGUGAUUGUCCCUUGAUUG